GGAGCAGAGAAGGAGCAUGCAAUUCUGGUUGAGGCAAAGGCAAAAAGGAAAACAAAAACUGGAAAGAAAAGCCUGAUACGAAUCUGAGGUGCUGCCGAACGCCAGGUUGUUUAUUGAGGCGACUCAGCCUUCCGGCCGCCCGGCCUUGAUUUCUCCUCACUGUGCAGUGAGUCGAGCCGGCCAGCAGCCCUUCUGUUCCGCCCCAGUGUUGCCAGGUGCCAUCCACCAUCGGUCCUGGGGCAGCUGCGUCUGCUUUGCAUCUGACUGCAGGGCGGGAUGCCAGCUGCCACUUAUGAUGGUAACUGCAGCCGCCUGGUCCCUGUUAGCUCAGGCGUCCUCUCACCCGCACUGUCCUUCCUGCUUUGACGGGUGGGUGUGUCUGCCAGGCCUUCCUGGACACGGUCACCCACUGGCCUUCUGCCUUAGUUGGCUCACCCGCCCUCCCGUGUCCACUUCACUCCACCGUCUGACAGAGUGAUUCCGGUAUUUCUACCUAACUUAAUGUGGCCCAGAGCUGCUUAUGUGCUCCUUUGAACCAUCCUGACGACCUGUGGCCACCACACCCUAGGGCCUGGCCAGGGUGUUAAAACCCACGUCUUGGGUGAGUGCGCCUGAAUCAGUGAACUCUCCCUUAUCAGGCUCUGCCUGGCCUUGGCUGAGCGCGCUCAGCGCCGUGCUCUCCUGGCCCUAGCUGGCUGCCCAGGCCCUGCAGCUCCCUCAGCAAAGAGCGAAGAUUCUCUUCCCUCUAACCCCGGGCCCCGCACGUCAUCACAGCCAGCUGGGAGCAGAGACGUGGGCUGAUGCCGGAGUGCCUGUUGUUCUGCAGGGCCAUGGCCUUGGCAUAGCAAACUGGCUAGGGAGAGGUUCAAUCUUUGGAACUUGGCUGCUCUGUGAGAAGACGGAACGCGAGGGCUGUCAGCUGCUCCUGGAAGCGCUCAUCCCAGUUUAUCACAGUGUCCACUGGACUGUGCGUCCAGACGCUGGCUGAUGAGAGACUGGAGACUGGUGAGAUGUCCUCCGGAUGUGAAUGGUGGCGUUUCUUCCGAUCGGUUCAGACGUGGUGUGAAUCAGGAACAAGCCCACGUGCAGACAGACAAGAUGAAGUAUUCUUCACGAAAAUUUAACAUCUUAAUUGAGGUGUGUUGUGCAUGCAAAUUACACACUGGAUUUCAAAGCGUAUGAGAAGAAUGUAAAAUGUACCAUUAAUAAUUUGAAGACAAUGAUGAUGUGUUGAAAUAAU